rnacentral:misc_RNA from 1 species
AAGUCGUAACAAGGUCUCCGUUGGUGAACCAGCGGAGGGAUCAUUACCGAGUUUACAACUCCCAAACCCAAUGUGAACGUUACCAAACUGUUGCCUCGGCGGGAUCUCUGCCCCGGGUGCGUCGCAGCCCCGGACCAAGGCGCCCGCCGGAGGACCAACCAAAACUCUUUUGUAUACCCCCUCGCGGGUUUUUAUAUAUCUGAGCCAUCUCGGCGCCUCUCGUAGGCGUUUCGAAAAUGAAUCAAAACUUUCAACAACGGAUCUCUUGGUUCUG